UACGAAGGGGGCUAGCGUUGUUCGGAAUUACUGGGCGUAAAGCGUGCGCAGGCGGCUUCUCAAGUCAGGGGUGAAAGCCCAGAGCUCAACUCUGGAAUUGCCUUUGAGACUGAGUGGCUUGAGUACGAGAGAGGUGAGUGGAAUUCCCAGUGUAGAGGUGAAAUUCGUAGAUAUUGGGAAGAACACCGGUGGCGAAGGCGGCUCACUGGCUCGUAACUGACGCUCAGGCACGAAAGCGUGGGGAGCAAACAGG
rnacentral:rRNA from 1 species